AUUGAACGCUGGCGGCAUGCUUUACACAUGCAAGUCGAACGGUAACAGGUCAGGCUGACGAGUGGCGAACGGGUGAGUAAUGCAUCGGAACGUGCCCGAUCGUGGGGGAUAACGCAGCGAAAGCUGCGCUAAUACCGCAUACGAUCUGAGGAUGAAAGCGGGGGACCUUGGAGCAAUCUGGGGCGCCGCGCGAUCGGGGCGGCCGAUGGCAGAUUAGGUAGGUGGUGGGGUAAAGGCUCACCAAGCCGACGAUCUGUAGCUGGUCUGAGAGGACGACCAGCAACACUGGGACUGAGACACGGCCCAGACUCCUACGGGAGGCAGCAGUGGGGAAUUUUGGACAAGGGGCGCAAGCCUGAUCCAGCAAUGCCGCGUGCAGGAAGAAGGCCUUCGGGUUGUAAACUGCUUUUGUACGGAGCGAAAAGGCUCUCUCUAAUACGGGGGGUUCAUGACGGUACCGUAAGAAUAAGCACCGGCUAACUACGUGCCAGCAGCCGCGGUAAGAC
rnacentral:rRNA from 1 species